rnacentral:rRNA from 1 species
UACGGAGGGUGUGAGCGUUGUCCGGAAUCACUGGGCGUAAAGGGCGCGUAGGCGGCGCGGGUAGUCAUCGGUGAAAGUUCAGGGCUCAACUCUGAAUCGGCCGGUGAUACUCUCGUGCUUGAGCACUGUAGAGGCAGGUGGAAUUCCGGGUGUAGCGGUGGAAUGCGUAGAGAGUCCGGAAGAACGACCGGUGGCGAAGGCGGCCUGCUGGGCAGUAGCUGACGCUGAUGCGCGACAGCGUGGGGAGCAAACAGG